rnacentral:rRNA from 1 species
AGAGUUUGAUCCUGGCUCAGGACGAACGCUGGCGGCACGCUUAACACAUGCAAGUCGAACGAGAGAAGAGGAGCUUGCUUUUCUGAUCUAGUGGCGGACGGGUGAGUAACACGUGAGCAAUCUGCCUUUCAGAGGGGGAUACCGAUUGGAAACGAUCGUUAAUACCGCAUAACAUAAUUGAACCGCAUGAUUUGAUUAUCAAAGAUUUAUCGCUGAAAGAUGAGCUCGCGUCUGAUUAGCUAGUUGGUAAGGUAACGGCUUACCAAGGCGACGAUCAGUAGCCGGACUGAGAGGUUGAUCGGCCACAUUGGGACUGAGACACGGCCCAGACUCCUACGGGAGGCAGCAGUGGGGAAUAUUGCACAAUGGAGGAAACUCUGAUGCAGCGAUGCCGCGUGAGGGAAGAAGGUUUUAGGAUUGUAAACCUCUGUCUUCAGGGACGAAAAAAGACGGUACCUGAGGAGGAAGCUCCGGCUAACUACGUGCCAGCAGCCGCGGUAAUACGUAGGGAGCGAGCGUUGUCCGGAAUUACUGGGUGUAAAGGGAGCGUAGGCGGGAUCGCAAGUCAGAUGUGAAAACUAUGGGCUUAACCCAUAAACUGCAUUUGAAACUGUGGUUCUUGAGUGAAGUAGAGGUAAGCGGAAUUCCUAGUGUAGCGGUGAAAUGCGUAGAUAUUAGGAGGAACAUCAGUGGCGAAGGCGGCUUACUGGGCUUUAACUGACGCUGAGGCUCGAAAGCGUGGGGAGCAAACAGGAUUAGAUACCCUGGUAGUCCACGCCGUAAACGAUGAUUACUAGGUGUGGGGGGACUGACCCCUUCCGUGCCGCAGCAAACGCAAUAAGUAAUCCACCUGGGGAGUACGACCGCAAGGUUGAAACUCAAAGGAAUUGACGGGGGCCCGCACAAGCAGUGGAGUAUGUGGAUUAAUUCGAAGCAACGCGAAGAACCUUACCAGGUCUUGACAUCGUAUGCAUAGCUCAGAGAUGAGUGAAAUCUCUUCGGAGACAUAUAGACAGGUGGUGCAUGGUUGUCGUCAGCUCGUGUCGUGAGAUGUUGGGUUAAGUCCCGCAACGAGCGCAACCCUUACUGUUAGUUGCUACGCAAGAGCACUCUAGCAGGACUGCCGUUGACAAAACGGAGGAAGGUGGGGAUGACGUCAAAUCAUCAUGCCCCUUAUGACCUGGGCCUCACACGUACUACAAUGGCUGUCAACAGAGGGAAGCAAAGCCGCGAGGUGGAGCGAACCCCUAAAAGCAGUCUUAGUUCGGAUUGUAGGCUGCAACCCGCCUACAUGAAGUCGGAAUUGCUAGUAAUCGCAGAUCAGCAUGCUGCGGUGAAUACGUUCCCGGGCCUUGUACACACCGCCCGUUACGCCAUGGGAGUCGGUAACACCCGAAGCCUGUAGUCUAACCGCAAGGAGGACGCAGUCGAAGGUGGGAUUGAUGACUG